rnacentral:rRNA from 1 species
GGCCAGCAGCCGCGGUAAUACAGAGGUCCCAAGCGUUGUUCGGAUUUACUGGGCGUAAAGGGUGCGUAGGUGGCAUAUAUAGUCUGAUGUGAAAUCUUGAAGCUUAACUUCGAAACUGCAUUGGAAACUUAUGUGCUAGAGUAGUGUAGGGGAGACUGGAAUGCUCGGUGUAGCAGUGAAAUGCGUAGAUAUCGAGCGGAACACCAGUGGCGAAGGCGAGUCUCUGGACACUCACUGACACUGAGGCACGAAAGCCAAGGGAGCAAACGGGAUUAGAUACCCCGGUAGUCUUGGCUGUAAACGGUGCGCAUUUGCUGUGAGCGGAUUCAACCCUGCUCGUGGCGUAGCUAACGCGAUAAAUGCGCCGCCUGGGGAGUACGGUCGCAAGAUUAAAACUCAAAGGAAUUGACGGGGGCCCGCACA